rnacentral:rRNA from 1 species
AGUGAACGCUGGCGGUAGGCCUAACACAUGCAAGUCGAACGGCAGCACAGUAAGAUCUUGCUCUUACGGGUGGCGAGUGGCGUACGGGUGAGGAAUAUAUCGGAAUCUACUUUUUCGGGGGGGAUAACGUAGGUAAACUUACGCUAAUACCGCAUACGACCUACGGGUGAAAGCAGGGGAUCUUCUGACCUUGCGCGAUUGAAUGAGCCGAUGUCGGAUUGGCUGGUUGGGGGGGUAAAUGCCCACCAAGUGGACGAUCCGUAGCUGGUCUGGGAGAAUGAUAGGCCACACUGGAGCGGGGACACGGUCAGGGCUACUACGGGAGGCAGCAGACGGGAAUAUUGGACAAUAGGCGGAAGCAUGGUCCAGCCGUACCGCGUGGGUUGAAGAGGCGUUGGGGUUGUAAAGCCCUUUUGUUGGGAAAGAAAAGCAGCAGGUUAAUACCAAGCUGUUCUGACGGUAACCAAAGAAUAAGCACCGGCUAACUUCGUG